UUCCAAGAGUUAAUCUGCAUUCCUGGUGGGAUGGUGCCAUUGUGGUGGGUGAGAUCCACACACUGGGCUGUUCAGUGGCACCUGAAUGUGGAGAUGGUGCUGGCUCAGCUGCUGGGCUUGAUGAUCUUAAAGGGCUUUUCCAGUCUUAAGGAUUCAAGGAUUCUGUGAUUUUAUGAUUUGUUUUGAAGGGAACAAGGAACGUCCCAGAUGGGAAUUUGGCCCUGCUGAUUAUGCCUUAUCCUGCCCUGUUUCCCAGGCCAAGGGAUUUUGUGGUACUUGGUACCACCAGUGGAUGGGAGCAGGGGGAGGGGAGAGGGAUGAGCUUCCAGCUGCCUGCACUGCUCUAAUCCCAGAAUUCCAGGUAAUCCACGGGAAUGUUCAGUGUCUGACCCCAGCCUGAGUCACUCU